rnacentral:rRNA from 1 species
UACGUAGGGUGCAAGCGUUGUCCGGAUUUACUGGGUUUAAAGGGUGCGUAGGCGGUCGAUUAAGUCGGUGAUGAAAUGUCGGUGCUCAACGCCGUCGCUGUUACCGAUACUGGUUGACUUGAGUAGAGUUGAAGCAGCUAGAAUGAGUGGUGUAGCGGUGAAAUGCGUAGAGAUCACUCAGAAUACCGAUUGCGAAGGCAGGUUGCCGGACUUUUACUGACGCUGAGGCACGAAAGCGUGGGGAUCAAACAGG